rnacentral:rRNA from 1 species
UACGUAGGUGGCAAGCGAUACUCGGAAUCACUGGGCGUAAAGCGCAGGUAGGCGGUUUGGUAAGUCUUUUGUGAAAGCUCCCGGCUCAACUGGGAGAGGUCAAGGGAAACUACCGGACUAGAGUGUGGUAGGGGAUACUGGAAUUCCUGGUGUAGCGGUGAAAUGCGUAGAUAUCAGGAGGAAUACCUAUGGCGAAAGCAGGUAUCUGGGCCAUCACUGACGCUGAGCUGCGAAAGCUAGGGGAGCAAACAGG